GGCCAGCAUGGACGCAGCCUGAUACUCCUGCCGCGUGAGUGAGGAAGGCCUUCGGGUUGUAGAGCUCUUUCUGAGUGGACGAUAGUUCCUUUAUCAAGGAUCUAUUGAUUUGAAAGUAUGGUGCCACAGCCCCGGUAAACUCCGUGCCAGCAGCCGCGGUAAUAA
rnacentral:rRNA from 1 species